GGAGUCUGGGCCGUAUCUCAGUCCCAAUGUGGCCGUUCAACCUCUCAGUCCGGCUACUGAUCGUCGACUUGGUGAGCCGUUACCUCACCAACUAUCUAAUCAGACGCGAGCCCAUCUUCAGGCGAUAAAUCUUUGAUAUAUCUGCGAUGCCGCAAAUAUAUGUCAUGCGGUAUUAGCAGCCGUUUCCAGCUGUUGUCCCCCUCCUGAAGGCAGGUUGCUCACGCGUUACUCACCCGUCCGCCACUAAGCUAUACUUAUUCCAUCCGAAGACUUCAUUGGGCAUAGCCCCGUUCGACUUGCAUGUGUUAGGCACGCCGCCAGCGUU
rnacentral:rRNA from 1 species